GGGGCUGACCGGUUUUGACAGCGCGUAGAAGUGGUGUGUAAGCGUGCAGAGCUACGAUGAUAGCAACUCUCUAAACUGCCUCAUCAACUUCUUUUAAAUGGCGAAAACAACUACGCUCUCGCUGCCUGAUUGAAGCACAGUAAAUCAGCUUUAUCCCCGCAACAGUUGCAGGGACGAGACAUCGCCCGAUUGUCCUGUUUCCGAGACUAAUCGACAAGGCGGUGCAGAAAUAUCGGAGAUAGCCGCAGCCCGGCUCCGUGGCGGCGGCGAAACCUUAGGAGCUAAGGCUCAGAUUGGCAGUCACCGGCCUGUCUGACCCCGACAACCAAUCGGCGACUACGCACGUAGAAAGCGCAUUAAUUCCGCGUUUGGACGAGGGUUCAAUCCCCUCCAGCUCCACU
rnacentral:tmRNA from 1 species